rnacentral:lncRNA from 1 species
AUUAGAAUGAAAAUCAUAGGGGAGUUUCAUUCCUUGCAAUGCUUAAUUCAAUAUAAUUGUUUUCUUGCUUACAUUAGUGACCAUAUCAAAGCAUGGUGUACACCUCUUGCCGCAUUAAGAGUAUUUCCCUAUGGGCAGCAACAUUUUCCUCUCCUUCUCUGGAUAUUAGGAACAAUAUUCCAGGACCAGAGUACAGCCCCAGUCACGUCGUGGUGACCAUAUCACAGCACGGUGUACUCCUCUUGCUGUAUUCAGAGGAUUUGCCUAUGGGCAGAAACAUUCUCCACUCCUUCUCUGGAUAUUAGAAACAAUAUCACAGGACCGGUAAACAGCCGCAGUCAUAUCGUGAGUAAUGUCAUCUGUAAUCCCCUAGUUAUUAAAAACAACAUCACGGGGGUCUUGGCGCUUUAUGAGAUACUUAGAGUAAUAUUAGAAUUUCGGUAUUUUACAUGAGAGAGCAUAUUGAGUUGGUUUAUAUACUCCAACACAGAGUAGAAAAGGGCAUUGUAUAUUUUUUCUGACAGAUUAUACUCAGAGAAAUUUUGCUGUUAACAUUGGGGUACCUAGAUAAUAUUGAGAUUUUUUUCUAUUCGCGGAAAAUUAGAAUUAUGGUAUUUUACAUGAGAGAGCAUAUUGAGUUGGAGUAUGUACACCAAAACAGAGUAGAAAAGGGCAUUGUAUAUUUUUUCUGAGAGAUUAUAUUAUGAGCAAUUUUGCUUUUAACAUUGGGGAACCUAGAUACUAUUUAGAUUUUUUUCUAUUCUGGUAUAAAUAGAAUUUCAAUAUUUUACAUGAGAGAGCAUAUUGAGUUGGUGUAUAUACUCCAAAAAAAAGUAGAAAUAGUCAUUGUAUAUAUUUUCUGAUAGAUUACAUUCAGAGAAAUUUUCCUUUUAACAUUGGGGUACCUAGAUAAUAUUUAGAUUAUUUUCCACUCGUGUAUAAUAAGAAUUUCGAUAUUUUACAUGAGAGAGCAUAUUGAGUUGAUGUAUAUACCCAAUAACAGAGUAGAAAAAGGCAUUGUAUAUUUUUUCUGACAGAUUAUACUCAGAGAAAUUUUGCUUUUAACAUUGGGGUACCUAGAUACUAUUUAGCUUUUUUUUGAUUCGCGUAUAAUUAGAAUUUCGGUAUUUUAAAUGAGAGAGCAUAUUGAGUUGGUGUAUAUACACCAAAAUAGAGUAGAAAAGGGCAUUGUAUAUUUUAUCUGACAGAUUAUACUCAGAGCAAUUUUGCUUUUAACAUUGGGGUACCUAGAUAAUAUUUAGAUUUUUUUCUAUUCACGUAAAAUUAGAAUUACGGUAUUUUACUGAGAGAGCAUAUUGAGUUGGUGUAUAUACUCCAAAACAGAGUAGAAAAGGGUAUUGUAUAUUUUUUCUGACAGAUUAUACUCAGAGCAAUUUUGCUUUUAACAUUGGUGUACCUAGAUACUAUUUAGAAUUUUUUCU